GCGGGGAAUGCCGAAAUGUGACGAGCGCAAGGAUAGUUCACAAAGGCAUUAUCGGGAGAGCGGCGCUGGCACGUGCACUGCCUGUAGAUCGCGAACACAAAAGGAAGCAGAGGAUUUGACAUGCAAGAUGGACUCCAGUCACAGACAAAUGCAGGACCUUCACUGGUUCCAUGUAGUCUACUUAAAGUCCAGUCCAGGCAGUUAGUAAAGCCUUCCCCAGCACAGGCCCCUUAAGACAAGACUCUUUCUGUGGCGCAUUUCCAUGGCAACCAAGUAACUAAGUUGAGGAGGAACAUAAAAACCUGCUUUUUGGAGAAACGAGGAACACCUGCCACCUCUGCAAAUGGAGGGCCAGACACACAGCGCUUUUACACAUCAUACAGAACACACUUUCACUGGCUCUAAAUAAGACCCUCACAUCUGUUAUUGCUUACAUGAAUAGCCAUUUAUCAGUGAUUUGUGUGGAGACUGUGGUGCCCUCGUGAAAUAAACAUUGUAAGGAUAUCUCAUAGAUCUCAAAGCUUUCACUGUCAUUACAGAGAAUCAAUGUUAACAUUGUGUGUGUGUGUGUGUGUGUGCGUGCGUGUGUGUGUGUGUCUUUAGUUGAUUUACAUUUAUGUUCCAAGCAGAAACUUUCUCACCAUUUUAAGACGUUAUGUUGUAUUGUGACAUUUACAGCAGUUUAUGCUUAACAUACGUAAAUGUUAUAUUUGUACUGGUUUUAUCAAACAUAAAAAUGACA